AACGAACGCUGGCGGCAGGCCUAACACAUGCAAGUCGAGCGGGACCUUCGGGUCUAGUGGCGGACGGGUGAGUAACGCGUGGGAACGUACCCUUUGGUUCGGAAUAGCCUCGGGAAACUGGGAGUAAUACCGGAUACGGUCGAGAGACGAAAGAUUUAUCGCCGAAGGAUCGGCCCGCGUUGGAUUAGGUAGUUGGUGGGGUAAUGGCCUACCAAGCCUACGAUCCUUAGCUGAUCUGAGAGGAUGAUCAGCCACACUGGGACUGAGACACGGCCCAGACUCCUACGGGAGGCAGCAGUGGGGAAUCUUGGACAAUGGGCGCAAGCCUGAUCCAGCCAUGCCGCGUGAGUGAAGAAGGCCUUCGGGUUGUAAAGCUCUUUUACCAGGGACGAUAAUGACGGUACCUGGAGAAUAAGCCCCGGCAAACUUCGUGCCAGCCGCCGCCGUAA
rnacentral:rRNA from 1 species